UCGUUAGCUCAGUUGGUAGAGCAGCGGACUUUUAAUCCGUUGGUCGUAGGUUCGAGCCCUACACGA
rnacentral:tRNA from 2 species